GGUCCCAUAGUCUAAUGGUUCAGGACACUGGCCUUUCACGCCAGAGAUACCGGGUUCGAGUCCCGUUGGGAUCA
rnacentral:tRNA from 1 species